UACGUAGGGUGCGAGCGUUAAUCGGAAUUACUGGGCGUAAAGCGUGCGCAGGCGGUUUUGUAAGCCAGAUGUGAAAUCCCCGGGCUUAACCUGGGAAUGGCAUUUGGGACUGCAAGGCUUGAGUUUGGCAGAGGAGACUGGAAUUCCUGGUGUAGCAGUGAAAUGCGUAGAUAUCAGGAGGAACACCGGUGGCGAAGGCGGGUCUCUGGGCCGAUACUGACGCUGAGGAGCGAAAGCGUGGGGAGCGAACAGG
rnacentral:rRNA from 1 species